rnacentral:rRNA from 1 species
CCCGCAGCACAAGUGGUGGUCAUUAUUAUUGGGCCUAAAGCGUCCGUAGCUGGCUUGUUAGAUGCCUGGGUAAAUCGAUGCGCUCAACGUAUCGAACUCCGGGUAGACCGGCAAGCUUGGGACCGGGAGAGGCGUGAGCUACUCGAGGGGUAGGGGUAAAAUCCUGUAAUCCUUCGGGGAGGACCAGUGGCGAAGGCGUCACGCUAGAACGGCUCCGACAGUGAGGGACGAAGCCCUGGGGCGCAAACCGGAUUAGAUACCCGGGUAGUCCAGGGUGUAAACGCUGCAGACUUGGUGUCGGUGAUCCUACGAGGGUUGCCGGUGCCGUAGAGAAGUUGUUUAGUCUGCCGCCUGGGGAGUACGGUCGCAAGACUG